UGGGGAAUUUUGGACAAUGGGCGAAAGCCUGAUCCAGCAAUGCCGCGUGUGUGAAGAAGGCCUUCGGGUUGUAAAGCACUUUUGUCCGGAAAGAAAUCCUUGGCUCUAAUACAGUCGGGGGAUGACGGUACCGGAAGAAUAAGCACCGGCUAACUACGUGCCAGCAGCCGCGGUAAUACGUAGGGUGCAAGCGUUAAUCGGAAUUACUGGGCGUAAAGCGUGCGCAGGCGGUUUGCUAAGACCGAUGUGAAAUCCCCGGGCUCAACCUGGGAACUGCAUUGGUGGCUGGCAGGCUAGAGUAUGGCAGAGGGGGGUAGAAUUCCACGUGUAGCAGUGAAAUGCGUAGAGAUGUGGAGGAAUACCGAUGGCGAAGGCAGCCCCCUGGGCCAAUACUGACGCUCAUGCACGAAAGCGUGGGGGAGCAAACAGGAUUAGAUACCCUGGUAGUCCACGCCCUAAACGAUGUCAACUAGUUGUUGGGGAUUCAUUUCCUAGUAACGUAGCUAACGCGUGAAGUUGACCGCCUGGGGAGUACGGUCGCAAGAUUAAAACUCAAAGGAAUUGACGGGGUCAU
rnacentral:rRNA from 1 species